UUAAGCGACUAAGCGUACACGGUGGAUGCCCUGGCAGUCAGAGGCGAUGAAGGACGUGCUAAUCUGCGAAAAGCGUCGGUAAGGUGAUAUGAACCGUUAUAACCGGCGAUGUCCGAAUGGGGAAACCCAGUGCAAUUCGUUGCACUAUCGUUAACUGAAUACAUAGGUUAACGAGGCGAACCGGGGGAACUGAAACAUCUAAGUACCCCGAGGAAAAGAAAUCAACCGAGAUUCCCCCAGUAGCGGCGAGCGAACGGGGAGCAGCCCAGAGUCUGAAUCAGCUUGUGUGUUAGUGGAACGGUCUGGAAAGUCCGACGGUACAGGGUGAUAGUCCCGUACACCAAAAUGCACAGGCUGUGAACUCGAAGAGUAGGGCGGGACACGUGGUAUCCUGUCUGAAUAUGGGGGGACCAUCCUCCAAGGCUAAAUACUCCUGACUGACCGAUAGUGAACCAGUACCGUGAGGGAAAGGCGAAAAGAACCCCGGCGAGGGGAGUGAAAAAGAACCUGAAACCGUGUACGUACAAGCAGUGGGAGCACCUUCGGGUGUGACUGCGUACCUUUUGUAUAAUGGGUCAGCGACUUAUAUUCUGUAGCAAGGUUAACCGUAUAGGGGAGCCGCAGGGAAACCGAGUCUUAACUGGGCGUUAAGUUGCAGGGUAUAGACCCGAAACCCGGUGAUCUAGCCAUGGGCAGGUUGAAGGUUGGGUAACACUAACUGGAGGACCGAACCGACUAAUGUUGAAAAAUUAGCGGAUGACUUGUGGCUGGGGGUGAAAGGCCAAUCAAACCGGGAGAUAGCUGGUUCUCCCCGAAAGCUAUUUAGGUAGCGCCUCGUGAAUUCAUCUUCGGGGGUAGAGCACUGUUUCGGCUAGGGGGUCAUCCCGACUUACCAACCCGAUGCAAACUACGAAUACCGAAGAAUGUUAUCACGGGAGACACACGGCGGGUGCUAACGUCCGUCGUGAAGAGGGAAACAACCCAGACCGCCAGCUAAGGUCCCAAAGUCAUGGUUAAGUGGGAAACGAUGUGGGAAGGCACAGACAGCCAGGAUGUUGGCUUAGAAGCAGCCAUCAUUUAAAGAAAGCGUAAUAGCUCACUGGUCGAGUCGGCCUGCGCGGAAGAUGUAACGGGGCUAAACCAUGCACCGAAGCUGCGGCAGCGACACUAUGUGUUGUUGGGUAGGGGAGCGUUCUGUAAGCCUGCGAAGGUGUGCUGUGAGGCAUGCUGGAGGUAUCAGAAGUGCGAAUGCUGACAUAAGUAACGAUAAAGCGGGUGAAAAGCCCGCUCGCCGGAAGACCAAGGGUUCCUGUCCAACGUUAAUCGGGGCAGGGUGAGUCGACCCCUAAGGCGAGGCCGAAAGGCGUAGUCGAUGGGAAACAGGUUAAUAUUCCUGUACUUGGUGUUACUGCGAAGGGGGGACGGAGAAGGCUAUGUUAGCCGGGCGACGGUUGUCCCGGUUUAAGCAUGUAGGCUGGUUAUCCAGGCAAAUCCGGAUAAUCAAGGCUGAGGUGUGAUGACGAGGCACUACGGUGCUGAAGUAACAAAUGCCCUGCUUCCAGGAAAAGCCUCUAAGCAUCAGGUAACAUCAAAUCGUACCCCAAACCGACACAGGUGGUCAGGUAGAGAAUACCAAGGCGCUUGAGAGAACUCGGGUGAAGGAACUAGGCAAAAUGGUGCCGUAACUUCGGGAGAAGGCACGCUGGUGUGUAGGUGAAGUCCCUGCGGAUGGAGCUGAGACCAGUCGAAGAUACCAGCUGGCUGCAACUGUUUAUUAAAAACACAGCACUGUGCAAACACGAAAGUGGACGUAUACGGUGUGACGCCUGCCCGGUGCCGGAAGGUUAAUUGAUGGGGUUAUCCGUAAGGAGAAGCUCUUGAUCGAAGCCCCGGUAAACGGCGGCCGUAACUAUAACGGUCCUAAGGUAGCGAAAUUCCUUGUCGGGUAAGUUCCGACCUGCACGAAUGGCGUAAUGAUGGCCAGGCUGUCUCCACCCGAGACUCAGUGAAAUUGAACUCGCUGUGAAGAUGCAGUGUACCCGCGGCAAGACGGAAAGACCCCGUGAACCUUUACUAUAGCUUGACACUGAACAUUGAGCCUUGAUGUGUAGGAUAGGUGGGAGGCUUUGAAGCGUGGACGCCAGUCUGCGUGGAGCCAACCUUGAAAUACCACCCUUUAAUGUUUGAUGUUCUAACGUUGGCCCCUUACCGGGGUUGCGGACAGUGUCUGGUGGGUAGUUUGACUGGGGCGGUCUCCUCCCAAAGCGUAACGGAGGAGCACGAAGGUUAGCUAAUCCUGGUCGGACAUCAGGAGGUUAGUGCAAUGGCAUAAGCUAGCUUGACUGCGAGCGUGACGGCGCGAGCAGGUGCGAAAGCAGGUCAUAGUGAUCCGGUGGUUCUGAAUGGAAGGGCCAUCGCUCAACGGAUAAAAGGUACUCCGGGGAUAACAGGCUGAUACCGCCCAAGAGUUCAUAUCGACGGCGGUGUUUGGCACCUCGAUGUCGGCUCAUCACAUCCUGGGGCUGAAGUAGGUCCCAAGGGUAUGGCUGUUCGCCAUUUAAAGUGGUACGCGAGCUGGGUUUAGAACGUCGUGAGACAGUUCGGUCCCUAUCUGCCGUGGGCGCUGGAGAAUUGAGGGGGGCUGCUCCUAGUACGAGAGGACCGGAGUGGACGCAUCACUGGUGUUCGGGUUGUCAUGCCAAUGGCACUGCCCGGUAGCUAAAUGCGGAAGAGAUAAGUGCUGAAAGCAUCUAAGCACGAAACUUGCCCCGAGAUGAGUUCUCCCUGAGACUUUAAGUCUCCUGAAGGAACGUUGAAGACGACGACGUUGAUAGGCCGGGUGUGUAAGCGCAGCGAUGCGUUGAGCUAACCGGUACUAAUGAACCGUGAGGCUUAACCUU
rnacentral:rRNA from 2 species